AGUUAAAUCAACAAUAAUACGGUUAGGUUAAAGUUAAAAAACUAAUCAAUGAGACUCUCCGUCACCGUCCGAGCCAAUAAGACUCUUCCUCCACCGCGUAUUCGUCGUCGCCGGCAGUCUCUUCGAAUCCGAUAAACCUCUCUCGCGCACGCUUUCAUGUAUAUACGAAUUUCUUACAUAUAUAUAAUUGGAAUCAUUAUGAGUGUUUUUUUUUUUUUUGUUACUACUGGUUCAAUACUGUAGGAGUGGACGAUUACAGCAAACUCUCGCGGGAUCUGUGGAGGUCAAAGGGAAAAGCUCUGAAUUCCGGUAAGAUUUCGACGGUGAAGCUAAUUCCGGAGAUCGCCGGAGCUGGUAGGUACUUCGAGUUUCGAUCCCUGCGUCGUCGAUUGAAUUUACUCAAGAGUCGACUCUUUGCACUAAACUGUUGAAAGAUGAGCUCAAAAUCCGAACAGUUGAGCAUUUGUUAUCAGCUCUUGAGGCCAAGGGAGUUGACAAUUGCAGGAUCCAAAUCGAAUCCGAAAGCUCAUAGGCUGAAUCAACAAUGUCUCCUAUUAUCGAUUUGAUUUGAUUUGUAUGCUACAUAGAUUGUGAACAUCUUCCUCUGUAGUGUGUUAGCUGUUUCUUAUUGAUUUUGCUAGUGAAAGUUCGGUUUAGAGGAAUUGGUCCAUUGGAUGAGAUGAAUGUAGGCAACACUAACCAAGUGGAAGGUCCCUAUUUUUGAUAAAUCAGCUAAAGAACGGGUCGAUGCGAUAGGAGGAGUUGGCAUAAACGUGGGUCAAAACCAUGUUGGUGAAACUGUGGGGAAGAUGGUGCCUGCUCUGCUAUAGGCUGCCAAUGGUUUUCUUGGAGACCUUUCCAUUAGUCUUCCUUUGCAAAGGAUGUCGCACUAUCAAGAACCUUAUGUGUCGGGUGAAGCAGGCUCAUUAAAGGUGGACAAGUUUGUAGUGCACUAGUGCCAAGCAUGGAUGGAUGAACCCUCCUAUGCGGUUUGAUAAUGAAGCAUGUCGACAUAAGAUCCUCCCUGUUAGCACGAGGUGGAAAUGCAUGGAGGACUCCCCGUGGCUCACAGAUAAGGCAAAUAGUUUUUAUACAGUUUCUAGUUUUUCUUGACAUCUAAAGAAAAAACACUUUUCUAAUAGAAAGGGUU